rnacentral:rRNA from 1 species
AACGAACGCUGGCGGCAUGCCUAACACAUGCAAGUCGAACGAGAACUUCGGGUCUAGUGGUGCACGGGUGCGUACCGCGGGGGAAUCCGCCCUUAGGUGCGGAAUAAUUCGCCGUAAGGCGUGCUAAUAUCGGCUAAUGUCGCAGGAGAAAAGAUUUUUCGCGCUUGGAUGGGCGCGCAUUGGAUUAGCCAGUUGGUAGGGUAAAAGCCUAUCAAGGCGACGGUCGAUAGCUGGUUUGAGAGGAUGGUCAGCCACACUUGGACUGAGACGCGGGCCAGACUCCUACGGGAGGCAGCAGUGGGGAAUAUUGGACAAUGGGCGGAAGCCUGAUGCAGCAAUGCCGCGUGAGUGAUUAAGGCCUUAGGGUUGUAAAGCUCGUUUACCCGGGAUGAUAAUGACAGUACCGGGAGAAUAAGCACCGGCUAACUCCGUG